GACGAACGCUGGCGGCGUGCCUGACACAUGCAAGUCGGACGGUUCUUGCACCUUCAAGCUUGCUUGCUGGUGCAAGGAUAGUGGCGGACGGGUGAGUAACGCGUGAACAUCUACCCAUUGGAGGGGGACAACCCGUCGAAAGGCGGGCUAAUACCGCGUAAGCCGCGAGGUGAGAGGCUGCCUAUUGGUGGCCGCCGAUGGAUGGGUUCGCGUCCUAUCAGCUGGUUGGUGGGGUAACGGCCUACCAAGGCGAAGACGGGUAGCCGGUCUGAGAGGAUGGCCGGCCACACUGGAACUGAGACACGGUCCAGACUCCUACGGGAGGCAGCAGUGGGGAAUAUUGGGCAAUGGGGGUAACCCUGACCCAGCGACGCCGCGUGAGGGACGAAGGUUUUCGGAUCGUAAACCUCUGUUGUACGGGAAGAAGGAAUUGACGGUACCGUACGAGAAAGCCCCGGCAAACUACGUGCCAGCAGCCGCGGUAAAAUGUAGCGUG
rnacentral:rRNA from 1 species